AUCAGCCUUUUGGGUGUGAUUUUGUGGAGCGUGAGGAGUUAAACGCCUUCAUGCCUGCAUAUUCGUGCACUUUGGGUGUACUUGCCCGUGUGUAAGUUAACAUCAAUUUUGGUGGUCAUAAAAUGGCUGGAGGAAUGUAGCUUCGAUCUCGUAUUGAAGUGUUAUAGCCUUCGGUAGAUGUGAUGAUCGGGAUUGAGGACUGCAACGGAUACCCUUCGGGGCUACCUGUCUGGUCUCUGAUCGUUGCUCUGGUGCCGAAAGCUUGCUUACGGUUAUCAAAGUCGAUGGUCAAUAGGUUAGAACGGGUUAAAUUCGUUAAGGAUGUUGACGUAAUGGCUUU
rnacentral:rRNA from 1 species